rnacentral:misc_RNA from 1 species
GCGGAAACAAGUAUGCAGCAGUUGCAAGUACAUUGGGAACUUUAACAUGGCAGAAGCCGUUUUAUUCUGAUUAUCAAAACCUCUCCAGGGAAAGUGAGUAUGCGGCUUGGACUCUUGUUAAUGGUUAUGCAGUGAAUCAUGUAACUAUUUCCACUCAUCGGCUGAAGUCCCAUAUUAGAAGUAUCCAAAGUCUUAACAAAUUCAUUGAAGAUCAUGGUUAUAAAUUGAACUCUGAGGGCGG